UACAGAGGUCUCAAGCGUUGUUCGGAUUCAUUGGGCGUAAAGGGUGCGUAGGUGGUGGGGUAAGUCGGAUGUGAAAGUCCCGGGCUCAACCCCGGAACUGCAUUCGAAACUGCCUUGCUCGAGUACUGGAGAGGAGACUGGAAUUUACGGUGUAGCAGUGAAAUGCGUAGAUAUCGUAAGGAAGACCAGUGGCGAAGGCGAGUCUCUGGACAGUUACUGACGAACUGAGGC
rnacentral:rRNA from 1 species